UACGUAGGGGGCAAGCGUUAUCCGGAUUUACUGGGUGUAAAGGGUGCGUAGCCGGAAAUGCAAGUCAGAUGUGAAAGCCCGAAGCUCAACUUCGGGACUGCAUUUGAAACUGUAUUUCUAGAGUGCAGGAGAGGAAAGUGGAAUUCCUAGUGUAGCGGUGAAAUGCGUAGAUAUUAGGAGGAACACCAGUGGCGAAGGCGACUUUCUGGACUGUAACUGACGGUGAGGCACGAAAGCGUGGGGAGCAAAC
rnacentral:rRNA from 1 species